UGGGGAAUUUUGGACAAUGGGCGAAAGCCUGAUCCAGCAAUGCCGCGUGUGUGAAGAAGGCCUUCGGGUUGUAAAGCACUUUUGUCCGGAAAGAAAUCCUUGGCUCUAAUACAGUCGGGGGAUGACGGUACCGGAAGAAUAAGCACCGGCUAACUACGUGCCAGCAGCCGCGGUAAUACGUAGGGUGCAAGCGUUAAUCGGAAUUACUGGGCGUAAAGCGUGCGCAGGCGGUUUGCUAAGACCGAUGUGAAAUCCCCGGGCUCAACCUGGGAACUGCAUUGGUGACUGGCAGGCUAGAGUAUGGCAGAGGGGGGUAGAAUUCCACGUGUAGCAGUGAAAUGCGUAGAGAUGUGGAGGAAUACCGAUGGCGAAGGCAGCCCCCUGGGCCAAUACUGACGCUCAUGCACGAAAGCGUGGGGAGCAAACAGGAUUAGAUACCCUGGUAGUCCAUGCCCUAAACGAUGUCAACUAGUUGUUGGGGAUUCAUUUCCUUAGUAACGUAGCUAACGCGUGAAGUUGACCGCCUGGGGGAGUACGGUCGCAAGAUUAAAACUUAAAGGAAUUGACGGGGUCAUAGCUGUUUCCU
rnacentral:rRNA from 1 species